GUUAAUUGAGUUAUGAACUACAUCUGCCAAUGGGCUGGACAACACUUCUAUGAGAAGCUACAGUCCAACACUUUUACCUGCUAGGCUAAUGAUCAGAUAAAUCCUAAAAUUUGCAUGCUUUUUCUAUUACAUCCCCAUGCUUUUAGCUUCAUCAAUUUGGUUUAUAAGUUCCUAAUUUUGUCUCAAUUGUAUCCUACAGGUCUGAGGUGCCUAUAAUUGUUGUUGUGAUAACAAGGUGGAAACGAGAUGACUUGGAAUGAAUGGAUCCCACUUGAGUUAUCAAAUGGUGGCAUUUUGCAGAAGUUUCCUUAUAAAAUUGCUUAAAAUGUGUUGAGGUUCAUAUCGUGGCUAUUAGGGUUUAGCAGAGUCCUGUGUCAUUAAAGUGAACAAUUUUCAUUCACUGUCCAAAGCAGACCACCACACCGCAUCACCAAUUUUCA
rnacentral:misc_RNA from 1 species